UACGAAGGGGGCUAGCGUUGCUCGGAAUCACUGGGCGUAAAGCGCACGUAGGCGGCUUUCUAAGUCAGGGGUGAAAUCCUGGAGCUCAACUCCAGAACUGCCUUUGAUACUGGAGAGCUUGAGUCCGGAAGAGGUGAGUGGAACUCCGAGUGUAGAGGUGAAAUUCGUAGAUAUUGGGAAGAACACCGAUGGCGAAGGCAGCCAUCUGGACCGACACUGACGCUGAGGCGCGAAAGCUAGGGGAGCAAACAGG
rnacentral:rRNA from 1 species